GACAGUUUGUUACAAUGUCCAAACAUUGUUGAAUUAUAUGGAGAUGUAUGCACGCGAAAUAUUGUUAUAAUAUAAGAUCACAAUUUGUCAUUUUGUUUGUGCCUAUUUUUGCGGAUCAAACUUACACAGAUAACUAUCACUAGUUGUUACUCUUAUCCGACAGUUCGACAAAUAGUUCCAAGUAUUAAUACACAUCUGAAAAAUACUGCAGCGACUGAGUGAAUUUCAUACAGUGAUUAACAAUAAUUUGCAUUCUCGCACAAUUUUAACAAUAAAGUUGAACAACAUUGUUAUUCAAUCCGCAUUGUUUAACUUUUAUUCAAAUGAAAAAUUCUUUUAAUCAUCCUGCAUGAAAUACUUAUAUUCAAAAACCUGUGGACUGUUUUGAACGUGUAUGUUUUGGUUUGUCUGAGAAAAAAAAAUUAAAAAAAUAAUUGGUUGAUUGCACAAAUCGAAAGUAUUGAAAUGUGUUGAAAGUAAUGUUUUAAAAAUAAUCCCGGUUAUUUUGGUACGUAAUACAGAUUCUGAUGAGUGCGCUAAAGCUAUUAUCAAAAGAAAAUUAUGUGAAACUAGCCCGAACGGUGGUUGUACUGCUGCCUUUAAUGCGCCCCCAAUGGGAGAAUCACUACGGAAUUCGAUUUCAAAUAGGGAAAGGUUGGAUCAGCCGAAAUCAUUGGAAAUAACAAUCAGGACAGGUCCCAUCUGGAGGAUUUGUCCAAAUAGAGCUGGGUUUUGCUGCGGAGAAAAUUGCAAUCACCCGCCUCAGAAUGUUUAGCUGUCGAAUCCGAAGCGAUCGUGUUGCAUUUAGAAGGAGAAGCUGUGUUCGAUUAACCAUACUUCUAUUUAAGCAGCAAUAAUUCGAACACCAUUGAAAAUACAAUAGCAUGGCAAGUUUAUUCUACGCUCAAUCCUACAGUUGAAUAAAAGUAAGAUUCAUUUAUUUAA